rnacentral:rRNA from 1 species
GACGAACGCUGGCGGCGUGCCUAAUACAUGCAAGUAGAACGCUGAAGGAGGAGCUUGCUUCUCUGGAUGAGUUGCGAACGGGUGAGUAACGCGUAGGUAACCUGCCUGGUAGUGGGGGAUAACUAUUGGAAACGAUAGCUAAUACCGCAUAAUAGCAGUUGUUGCAUGAUAACUGUUUGAAAGGUGCAAUUGCACCGCUACCAGAUGGACCUGCGUUGUAUUAGCUAGUUGGUGGGGUAACGGCUCACCAAGGCGACGAUACAUAGCCGACCUGAGAGGGUGAUCGGCCACACUGGGACUGAGACACGGCCCAGACUCCUACGGGAGGCAGCAGUAGGGAAUCUUCGGCAAUGGACGGAAGUCUGACCGAGCAACGCCGCGUGAGUGCAGAAGGUUUUCGGAUCGUAAAGCUCUGUUGUAAGAGAAGAACGAGUGUGAGAGUGGAAAGUUCACACUGUGACGGUAUCUUACCAGAAAGGGACGGCUAACUACGUG